GUACUACUCCCUCCGUUCGGAAUUACUUGUCUCGAAUAUGGAUGUAUCUAGAACUAAAAUACAUCCAAAUACAUCCAUUUCUGCGACAAGUAAUUCCGAACGGAGGGAGUACCUC
rnacentral:pre_miRNA from 1 species